GGACCAUGAUAGGAAAAGCACCAUGUAUGUUUGUGUAAUACACAAAACACACACACAAACACACACUCCAUGUAUAUCAGGUUUAUGUGCGUGCAAUAGAAUUCAACCUUUUCAGCAAACAGUUCUAUGCACAGACUUGUGUAACAACCACCAUAAUCACAAUAUAGAAUAUUUUCAUCACCUUUCAAAUGUCCUUCAUACUUCCUCUUCGAAGUCAAUCCCAAACCCCUGACAACUACUGAUCUGUUUUCUGUACCUGUAGUUUGGUUUUAUCUAGAAUGUCCAUAAACGGAAUCAUACAGUAUGGACCCUUUGAGGCUUGGUUUCUUUCACUUACCAUAAUACAAGUGAGAUAGAUCCAUGUUGUGGUUGCAUGAAUCAGUAGCUCUUUCAUUUUUUAUUGCUGAGUAGUAUUCGUUUGUAUGCAUGAACCUAUAACAAUUUUCCAUUCAUGAGUUGAAGGAUAUAUAGGUUGUUUCGUUUUUGGUGAUUAUGAAUAAAGCUGCUGUAAACAUUCAUGUUACUGUAAGUUUUCUUUUCUCUUUAGUAAAUUACUAAAACUGACAUUGCUGGGACAUAUGGUAGGUGUAUGUGUGAAUGUAUAAGAAACUGCUAAAUAGUUUUUGAAAGUGGUUGGAUCAUUUUUUAUUCCCACUAGGAAUGUGAGAUGCUCUGUGUUCUUGUCAGCACUUAGUAGCGUCAGCUUUUAAAAUUUUAUCCACUCUAACAUGUGUAUUGUGGUAAUACACUAUAGGUUUUUUUUUUUGUUUGUUUGUUUGUUUUGUUCUUUUUUGUUGUUGACUUUUUUUUUUUUCUUUUUAGGUCUGCACUCGUGGCAUAUGGAGUUUCCCAGGCUAGGGGUCGAACUGGAGCUACAGCUGCCAGCCACAGCCACAGCAACACUGGAUCUGAGCCACAUCUGUGACCUACACCACAGCUCAUGGCAACGCUGGAUCCUUAACCCACUGAGCAAGGCCAGGGAUCAAACCUGCAACCUCAUAGUUCCUAAUCAGAUUUGUUUCCACUGUGCCACAAUGGGAACUCCCACACUGUAAUGUAGUUUUAAUUUUACACUUUCUGUUGACUAAUGAUGUUCUUUUAAUGAGCUUAUAUAACAUCCUCCAAAAGACAUUUAUUGGUGAAAUGUGUGCUCAAUAUUUUGCCCACUUAAAAAAGUGGGUUAUGUCCUUCAAAUUGUGUUUUGAGAGUUUAAAAAUAUAUAUCUGGAUACAAAUCCCUUAUCAAAUAUAUAAUUUAAAAAUACUUUCUCCCAGUCUGUGAUAUGCUUUCUCAUUUUCUUAACAGAGUCUUGUGAAAACCAAAGUUUUAAACUUUGGCAAAGUCCACAAUUUACCAAUUUUUUUCCUUUAUAGAUCAUGCUUUUUGUAUUAUAAGAAUUCUUUGCUUAACCCAAAAUUAUAUGGAUUUUCCCCUAUGUUUUCCCAAAUAAAUUUAAAAAUUUAAGUUUCACAUUUAUGUUAUAAUCUGUUUUGAGUUAAUUUUUUUCGUAAAUUGUGGGAGAUAUGGAUUGAGGUUCAUUUUUUUUUUUUUGCCUAUGGAUAUUCAAUAGUUCCAACACAAUUUGUUGAAGAUAUUCUCCACUGAAUUAAUUUUGCAAUUUUGUCAAAAGUCAGUUGACCAUAAUGUGCAUGUUCAUUUCUGGACUUUCUAUUAUGUUCCAUUAAUUUCUGUAUCUUUUUUUUUUUUUUUUUUUCCAUUUNNNNNNNNNNNNNNNNNNNNNNNNNNNNNNNNNNNNNNNNNNNGGGGUCAAAUCGGAGCUGUAGCUGCCAGCCUACACCACAGCCACAGCAACACGGGAUCCGAACCGCAUCUGCAACCUACACCACAGCACACAGGCAACGCCGGAUCCUUAACCCACUUAGCAAGGCCAGGGAUCGAACCCACAACCCACAACCUUAGUCAGAUUCAUUAACCACUGAGCCAUGAUGGGAACUCCAUCUGUAUCUUUUCUUUCACCAACUUGAUUACAAUAGCCUUAUAGUAAGUGUUAAAAUCAGUUUAGUGUAAAUUCUCCAACACUUUUUUAUUUUUGAAAUUGUUUUUUGGCUAUUUUAGUUCCUUCACUUUUCCAUAGAAAUUUUAGUGUCAGUGUGUGAAUUUCUACAGCACAUCCUGGUAAGACUGAAUGAGAUUGUAUUAAGUUUAUAAGUCAACUUGGGGAGAACUAUACAUGGCAUAUCUCCCCAUUCAUUUAGGUCCUCUUUGUUUUGUCAUGUUCAGCAUAUAGAUCUCGUGCAUAUUCUGUUUGCUUUACACUUAAGCACUUCAUGCUUUUAGGUAUGAUUAAAAAUAGUACUUUUUUCAAUUUCAGUUGUUCAUUGCCAAUAUAUAAAAAAAUAUAUAUAAUUGAUUUUUAUAUACUAAUAGUGUAUCCUAUGCUCUUGCCAAACUCACUUAUUCUAGCUUUUGUUUGGGGGGUAGACUCUGGGAUUUUCUACAUUGACAAUCAUGUUUUCUGUUUAAGUAGAGACAGUUUUAUUUUUUUCCUUUUUGAUCUGUAUGCCUAGAUUUUGUAUAUGAUUUAAACUAUUUCACUUAGAACAUUUUUUCUUUCUUUCUUUCUUUCUUUUUUCUUUUUUUCUUUUUGCCAUUUCUUGGGCUGCUCCCGAGGCAUAUGGAAGUUCCCAGGCUAGGGGUCCAAUUGGAGCUGUAGCUGCUGGCCUAUGCCAGAGCCACAGCAACGCGGGAUGUGAGCCACGUCUGCAGCCUACACCAGGGUUCACGGCAACGCUGGAUCCUUAACCCACUGAGUAAGGCCAGGGAACGAACCCGAAACGUCAUGGUUCCUAGUCAGAUUCUAACCACUGAGCCAUGACGGGAACUCCUAGAACAUUUUCUUCUUCUUCUUUUUUUUUUUUUUUUUUUCCCCCGGGAGUUGUAGCCCCCAGCCUACGCCAGAGCCACAGCAACGCAGGAUCCCAGCCACGUCUGCAACCUACACCACAGCUAACGGCAACGCCAGAUCGUUAACCCACUGAGCAAGGGCAGGGACCGAACCCGCAACCUCAUGGUUCCUAGUCAGAUUCGUUAACCACUGCGCCACGACGGGAACUCCCUAGAACAUUUUCUUUUGAGAAAAAUAUUUUCACAAGAUUAAGUCCUUGCCAAAUUGGCUUUCUGAAUCAUUAAAAGGAUUUGGAUCCCAAAGGCCUGAGCCCAACCAGAUAAUGUACUUAGGUUGAGUCGUAGGUUCCUAUCUGUUUUUCCUCAAAUCCUUAUUUCAGGACAUGGGUCAUCUUUCUGCAUUGAUUGACAUACUCUAUCAUCAAACCAGAGAAUGGGCAUAAAUGAGCUUUGGACUUAAAGAAUCAAAGAGGUUCCCAUUACCACUAUGAUUUUUUUUAAAACAUUUUAUUAAUGAUUUAAAUUUUUUUUUUCACUAUAGCUAGUUUACAGUGACCACUACAAUUCUUAAUUUGGGUAAUUGCCAAGAUCACCAGGUACUGAGGUCCCCUUAAUGCUUAUGAGAGAUGAAACUUUUGGUGUUAGAUUUAUAUGAUGGACUUAAUUCUAGUCUACAUUUAGGGCCAACCUCUUCUUGAAGAGGACACAUACCCUGAAGAACAGUCAUGUGAUGGUUGUCCAUGUGUGGAUCGAAACUCAUGCCUCCUCCUUCCCCAACCCAACAUGGGCCUGAGUUGUUUCUUUUGCUCUAUGUAGACCGUCUAUAAUUUUCACCCUUCAAAGCUGUGCUACCAGAAGAUGAUUUUAUAUAGGUUUGAGUUUUGCAUAAUAGCGACUUGUUAUUUUCCUAUUUUGAGUUGGUCCGUGAGGAUGACGUGCAGGGUAAUUCAUGUAGUCAGGGGACCCCUGCCAUUAUUGUCAGUGGUAAGCAGCCUUGAAAUAGCCCUUAGACUUAAGAGCCUUCACACUGAGCAGAGGCCACCUCCUCCAUGGGCUCAGCUGGUACCCUCGCUGCUACAUUUGACACCCCGAGGUCCAGCUACCUUGCUGGAGUGUGUGUGAGUCAGGAGCAGGCUCUCUAUCUUACUCUUAUAUUCCCAAGGUCCAACUCAGGGCUUGGCUGCUCUUACUGACUGAAUGAGGCCUAUAAAUAUACCUAGAAGUCAGUUGGGCCCAGUGUGGAGGGCAAGUGAUCUAGCAUCAGGUUUGAGGCUGAGCACUGCUGCCUGUCCAAGUCACUUAUUCUCUUAAAGCUGUGUUUUCCCAUCUGUGAAAUGUCGCUAUAAUCUACCUCAUUUGUUAUCAUUGUGGAGUGCUUAGUUCAUCAUCUUCUACUCAGAGUAAAUGGAUGUUAGUAGAAUUGUUAUUUAAUAGAUACACUGUGUCAUUUGAUCCUAACUACCAGCAGAUCCUCCCUCCCCAAUUCAGUUGCUUCCCCUGGUUGAAUAGGAGUUCAGAGGUAUUGCUGCACAAUUUGGCCAUCCCCAGUGGCAUCAAUGUGGCCACCGGGGGAAGGGGUGUGCCACCGAAUAUUUAGGUGCUCAUAUUAUCUAAGAUGCCAAAUGACCUAUUUACAGUGGUAACUGCACAGAGUGAUAGCCAGGCUACAUGAGCUUCCAUGCUAGUGUCAGCAUCCAGGGUUUUAUAUUUAGCAGGAUUUACAGGAAGUGCUAAUAUGAACAGGCUGGCCCAAGUCUGGAGGUCAUGGAAGCAAUCCAGAAAACAGAAAGAUACUCUCUCCCCAAAUUCUAAGGGAUAUGUUCCAACCUUCCAGGCAACAAUUCACCCUGCAAGUUUCGAUAGAGUAUCUCUUCAUUUAUUCUUCCUGGUAUCCUCAAUCCUUUCUGAAGGACACCAGCAUUGUUAGCUUGACAUAACGUUGGGGUUUGGAGUAUGCUCUCGUUAGCACUUGAAUAUGAAUUUUAUUUCUAAAUUUUUAAACUCCCCAAAUUACAGGAAAAGCUGUGAUUCCCAUAAAUUCAGUCUCUAGUGUAAAAGUGUACAUUCCUGAUGCAUGUAUUUUGGUGUUCUUUUCUUUUUUUCUUUAUUUUUUAAACUAAGAACUUGGGUGAUGUUCUAAAAGCAUUUGACGAUGGCCUCAUUUUGAAGAUGGUCAUGUAAAUUUUUUGCUGUCUAAAUAAUUUAAUCCUUCAGUUAGAGAAUAAGCUCUUGAGCAAUAUUAUUUUGGGGCCACAUAUGUAAAAUGUUUUUUUUUUUUUUUUUUUUUUUUUUUUUUUUUNNNNNNNNNNNNNNNNNNAAUAUUCUUUUUGAAAAAUAGAUUCCCCAUCAAAAUAAGAACAUGUCAAUAUGGCCACAGUUUUAUAAUGUGAAAGAACACCCCUACAUGUAUAUGUAUGUACGUUCUUGUGUUCAUGCCUAUGGGCAGUAAAACUAGUUUUUUCUAGGUGUGUGGGUAUUUUGAUUUCCUGUGUGUUUUUCUGUAUUUCAAAAUGUCUGUAAUGAUUAAAUAGAAAAGCAAUAAUUACUGUAUCUAAAAAGAGAAGCUCUUCUAUUUUUUGAAUUUUUAUUUUAUUUUUAUGUUUUGCUUUUUAGGGCUGCACCUGCAGCAUAUGGAGGUUCCCAGGCUAGGGGCUGAAUCAGAGCUAUGGCUGCCAGUCUAUACCACAGCCACAGCAAUGCAGGAUUCAAGCCGCGUCUGUGACCUACACCACAGCUCAUGGCAACGCUGGAUUCUUAACCCACUGAGCAAGGCCAGGGAUUGAACCUGCAACCUCAUGGUUACUAGUCGAAUUCGUUGCUGCUGCACCACAAUAGGAACUCCAAAGAGAAGCUCUUUUAAAGAAGCUCUGGCCAGGAAAAAAAUAUGAUUAUAUUAUUUGGCCAGAUACUUCCAGAAUUAAGAAAUUAAAGAGAGAUUUUUAAGGCUGAAUUUACCAGAAAUGUAAUAACCUCAAAUGUAGUCUAUAAAUUUACAGUUCUAUUGACGGAGUGUGGAGAAAGAGUACAUCAUUAGCAACACUGUGGAUUUUUAUGUUUUUCUUUGUAAAUCAGAUUGAAAAGGAAGAGCAAGCCCACCCCUCGGAAGAAGUGAUGGAGGAGUUUCAGGUGAAUGGACGGCCUCAGCUCUCAGUCUCUCUGCUUCUGGACCCACAUGCCCUUGGACAGGUUAUCUGGCUUUGAAUAUGAUGCAGGGGCAGACACCUGCUGAUGCAGCAACUGCCAAUGCCCACAGUCUCCAUGUCGUGGGGGCUGCUGGGCAGCCAGCCUGGAGGCGCAAUUGCUGAAGAGCCCCUCCAAGUCCAUGCCCCUCGAGGACCCUGGCCACUGAAGCUGAUCAUGAAAGAAGACUGAAUUCCAACAUGUUCCCUUCAGGGGCUGACCUUGACUUAGGGUUCCAUUGUGUGCCCAGCAGUGGCGGUGCAGGAGCCCCUCCUGGGCUAUUUUCCCUACUCAGCUCAGAGCUGAGGGAGAGGGUGGAGGGGAUCCAUCUUUCUUCAGGCUCCACUAUGGUCCAUUCCAGAAGCCAUUCAAACUUGUUUUAAGCUGGCUGAUUUGCUUAUUGGCUUCAAAAGUUGGAAUUGAAGGGUGAAGGAUGCAGGCAACAGAUCCUUCCCCCACUCCUCCUCCACCCCUCCGAUCCUUCUACUCAGGAGGCCCGGGGGGUGGGGGGAAGUGGAGCCAAACCCUAACCCAAAAGGUAUUGAGGCUCACUGUUCUUCCAGACUUAGUCUACUUUACUUGUGACUCAGAAGCCCUUUCCGAAGCCCUUCCCCUACCCAGCAAGACCACACUCUCUUGCUUCCUUCUCUUUUCUCUUUUUGUACCUGUAAACAAUAUAUUGUCGUAUCUAUUCAAUGCUUGUGCCCACCUCAGGGCUCUGUUCUUGCUGUUCAUUCUGCCUUGAUGUUCUGGCCCAAGAUCUUUGCUCUAAUGCCUUAAGCUCCAUUAUCAUCUCAGAGAGGCUUUCCUUGGAAAUUCAGUGUGGUUUCCAUAGCUACUCUCUAUCCCAUCACUCUAGCACUUAUCACCCUCUGGAAUUACCUUGUUCAUUUAUUUACUUAUUUAUUGCUUGGGUCCCCUCCUCUUCCUCAUGUAAACUUCAUGACUGCCAACACCUGUUUACUGCUACACUUUAAGUUCCCAGCACUAGUUAAGAGCUCAAUAAAUGCUUGUUGACC
rnacentral:lncRNA from 1 species